GAAAGAUGGAGGACAGACAAUUUAAGACUGAAUUAUACCUUUAAAUUAUGAUAAAAUGAAUGUGUAUCGUGCUACUGAGAAUUAUGUAUAUAAAACAGAUGAAUGUCUUGGACGGGGUGCCACAGGGGAUGUGUACAGGGGAGUCCAUAAGGUAACUGGAGAACAAUGCGCGUUAAAACUGUGUGAUCCCCGCUAUACCCAGCAGCUACAGAGAGAGGUAGAGGCCAUGAGACAGCUACAGCAUCCCAACAUCACAAAGUUCCAUCAGCUGGAGCACGACAAGGAGACAUCCAAACCAAUCCUUGUUAUGGAGCUGUGUGAGAAGGGGAACCUCCUGGAGCUGCUGCGAGACCCCGCUAACUCCUACGGUCUGGAGGAGGACGAAUUCCUCCGAUUUUUUCGUCAUCUGGUGUCUGGAAUGAAACAUCUUCGCCAGAAUGGAUUUUCCCACCGAGACAUAAAACCAGGCAACAUUCUGGUGUAUGUUGCAGACGAUGGCAGUCAUGUCUACAAGCUAUCAGACUUUGGGACUGCUAAACCUCUGAAGGAUGGAGAUUUCUUCCAGUCUCUCGUAGGAACGGAGGAGUAUCUGCAUCCUGACAUUUUUAAAGCUGCCUUCAUUGAUCGCUAUCGUCCACGAGAGUUUGAUAUCUCUGUUGAUUUGUGGAGUCUGGGAGCCACCCUGUAUCAUGCCGCCACUGGGAAGGUCCCCUUCCAACCCUACCAUGGGCGCGGGGACAAACAUACCAUGUUUCAGAUGAUCUCAAAGAAGGACCCGGGUGUUAUUGCUGGAGAGCAGAUCUCAGCAACUGGGUCCAUUAUCUGGUUCAAAGAACUGCCCAAAACCUGCUUGUUUUCAAAAUACCUCAAGGACACAUUGACAGAGUAUCUAGUGAGACUUCUGGAGUGCCAGACACACAGGAUGUGGACGUUUGAUGGAUUUUUUGUUGCUGCAGAUGAUCUCCUCCAGAAACAUAAGCUACAUCUGUUCUCUGUGGUGGACUCACAGCUUUAUCAUAUCUACAUGAACCCAGAUAGCAAAUUCGAUGACUUACAGAAAUGUUGCCAGGAGCAGACGUUUACACAAAUCAAAUCACCCUAUUUUCUUCUUCAUAACCAUGAUCUGGGAGAAUCCAUCUCAUUAGAUGACCCUGUAGAGUCCUAUCCCGCGACAUCAGCUGAUGAACCAAUAAUAGCCCUCCCCCUACAGGAGGGGACAUCCCUCACUACAAAAACGCCCACCGACUUCAUUGUGUCUCUUGUUGAAGAACUGACUGUGGAGUUCGCGAGUGAUGACGUGUCGACUCGAGAUGAUGACUACCGUACAGCUCGCUCUAUGUGUGUCACCACGGCCAUGAUAUAUAAAGCUGUAACACAGGCUGCAUCUGCUCUUCAGCUGCUGAGCAGUACGUCACGGGACUGCAGAUAUGAAGUACGACAGAAGUAUAAGUCCCUGAGGAGCAGUGUGAGGACCUUAGAGGACCGAUACACAGACAUCAAACAAAUCGUAGACACGGAUCACAAGAAAUCAACAGCGUUAUUUACUACCAUUACAGAGGACGGAGAUAUCGCUGACGACAACUUUGAACAGAUCAGCAAUAAGCUAGAUUCCUGUACAUCUUUGCUGGAAGUUUGUAAAGAAAAACACAAGAAACUGGAUGAGUUGACCAAAAUCAUGAAUUCCAUUACUCAGGAAAAUAUAAAGGCAAUGGUUGAGAGAACAUUCAAACAAAUGAUGGAGAUAUUGCAGAAGUUCUCGGAUUACCGUAAAUUACCGCGACUAAAUUACCACGACAAGAAACUCUACACAUUUGACAAGACAUCAAUAUCCUUUCAUUACCAGCGAGCUGUGUCUUACUUAAAGAAAGUUCAGCAUUCCAUGGCUGCCACAUUUACAACAUUUAGAAGAUGGCACAGUGCCUAUAUAAAAGUUUUGGAGGAACAUGAAGAAGUGGACGCUGCUAUGGCAGACAUUACCAGACAACUACAGGAAGUGGUUAGUGAGGUCAAGGGACUGAAGGAAUCUCCACCUCUGCCUUCCAUAUAUAAGCCAUCCAUGAAACAGAGACAUCUAGCACAGCAAGUGAAGAAAGGUGUGUCAGACAUUAGUAAGGACAUGAAUGAGACAAAGCAGAUAGCCCAGGAAUCUAGGGGCCACAUGGACAGUUUAAAGUCUUUGAUGGAAGAAUUUGAUGGAGAAUUUGACCUGUCUAGCUGAACACGAUCUGUUGAACCAGCCAUUUUGUUUGACUUAGGUCUAUAAUAGGCUGAGUUUUCAGACCUUUCCUUACAAUCUGUGAUACAAUGUUUUAACAGAAUGAAUGAUGAUUUUUUUUUUUCAAUCUCUUCAGAAUUAUAUUUUAUACACAUUGAGGGACCAAUAUAUUUACAUUUUGUUUCAAUUAUUUUUAUGAUUUAAUCAGUAUGUACACAUGUAUGUGGAAUCAAUUUUUACAAUUUUUAUUCCCUGCUCCCCCUGUCUGACUGUUGUUGUGUGGACAGGAGGGAAAUCUUUAGGGAUGACAUAACAGAAGUGCAGAACCAUGAUAAACUGUAUAGUAAUUUUUAUACCCACUCCACAAAGGAGGGGGGAUACUGUUUUACACUUGUGUUUUUGUCUGUCUGUCCAAAUAACAAAUUUUUGUUGCAUUUUUCUCAGCAAUUACUAAUUGCAAAUUCAAGGUUUAGCACAGUCUUUAUUUAGGCAUGCCAUAUGAUGGGAUUCAUUUUUGUACAACUUCGAUGUCAACUUCCUGUUUAUCCCUCCAUAUGUGUCUUUCUGUAACUGUACUAGUGUAUACACAUAAGAGUGUAGGUUUUAUUACUGAGCAUUGGCCCAGAGUACAUUAACUGUUCUGUAGCUUUUGUACAUUUAUAUCAUUAUUUAAUUCCCAGAUGAAAAUAUUAAACCCCCAAAAAAUUAACAUAAUGUGGAAAAAAUCCGAUUUUCUUUUUAAUAUUUUUAUAGUGGGUCUAAAUGAUGUGAUGGAACUCUGUUUUACAAGUGCGGCUUGCAUAAAACUUUAUGAAUGAUAAAAUGUAAUCCUAAUGACUACCACUGUGGACUUUGUUUUACAAGUAAAGGUUGUCAAUUUUUAGUAACUGCAUGGUUACUUGCCUGGCCUUUCAGGUCAAGUUCUCAGUCUAUAUUUUUAUAAAACUUAACAUUUAAACCUAUGAUCCACAUUUAUCUUACCAAUCAGGUUCUUGUUCUUGUGAAUGAUUU